rnacentral:lncRNA from 1 species
AGAAAACAAUAGGAUGCAUAAGAGACUCAUAUGUGCCCCAGAAACAGUCGCACACAUAAGUAGACAAAUCUCAAAUGUACCAUUGCAGUGCUUAUUACAUAGCGAAACAUAAUAAAUCACAUAGUCUCAUACAAAAAUGAUAGCAUAGAAUAAACAACGCUCUCGAUGGAAGCUCCACACAGGGACACUGUUGACUGGUUGACUCCAAACCUAGUACUCAUAACGGUAAUCCUCAUUCCAGUCAUCUUCAUUAUCAUAUCCUGAGGUGUUGGGAAAUUGCAAGAGUGAGCACAUAUCGUACUGAACAAGUAUAACCAGGGGUUCAUGAGGCUCAAAUAGCUAACACUGGUUUGACGGCGUUUAGCUUUUAAUAGUGGGUAGCAUAUUCAUAAUUAAAUAGCAAAUGUCAAGGUAGCAUAAAUAAUCCAAUAACCACAUGAUCAAGUGUAAGCAUAAUUAAUCUCAUAGCAUAAACGAUAACCAAAUGAACAUAAUAACAUAACAAGCUCAUCAUCUUAAUGUAGAUGUCCCCAAGGCCGCUCCUGACCGUGAGCUCGGCUAAUAUACCAGUUUUACACUCGGCAGAGGUUGUACAUCUUUACCCAUGAGUCAUGAUUUACCCUUUCGCCCGAGGUAGCUAAUCUCUUAACCCCCUUCCCAGAGAGGUCGGCAGGGAUCACUAUGAAGCCUUUCAAGAGUUCGUCUAACAUGUUAGGGCCGCAAGGUUUCCUUUGCGAGCAGAUAUAGAUACCCCCCUUCCGAAUGACACAAUGACGCACAACCUAUACACAUAGGGACAGGGGCUCGCACUAUACCCGUGUCGGUUCAGCCUCUCCGCCCUUUCGGGUAACCUCUAACAAGCUAGAAAAGGUCUCCAUACUGAGCUAAAGCCAGAGCCAUUAUAGCCCUCAUGGUUGCACUGCUAUCCCGGGUGAUCACGUACAGACAAGAUCUCAUACAGUUAUUUGUUAUUCUUUUAUGUUCAUUGCAUAGCUAUUAAUCAUCUUACACGAUCAUGGAUUAUAUCAAGCACUAGCACAUCUACACCAAAUGCAUAUCAAGUAGGUAGCAAGGAAUACAGGUAACAAUCAUCUAUGAUUUUGCUAAGGUCGACAAGGUGAUAGCAUGCAUAUGAUAUAUAUGUGUAGUUAUAAGUGAAUAGGUAACAAGGAUGAUCCCAAGUUAUACUUGCCUUGCUCAAAGCUCUCCUGAGCCUGCUGGUCCUCAAAGGCUUGGUCUUGAUCACCAACGUACGGCUCACCGUCUAUUCCCAACCACCAAUCAACAACACGCAAUCCAAUGGAGACAAUCAUACACAAAGCAAACAAGAUAUAAUUAGAACAUUACACCAAACAGUGGUAAAACAAAUAUAAAAGUUUAUGAAAAUAUUCUACGCAGCACUACGAUCACACAAACGUAAAGUUCACGAAAAUCGGAAUUAAAACGUGAAAGAUAUGAAUUUUCUAAGAUUUCCUAUAGAGAAAUAAUUAAUUAAAUGCUACUGUAGAAUUAAGAAGUUUCAAAACAGAGAAUAAAUACUUCUAACAUGUAGAGCUUGUAAAUACGAAUCCAACGAAAUUUGAAUGGACAAAAACGGAAUUAAAAUGAAUAUUUUAUGAGCAAAACCAAAUCAGUGGCAAUUCUGUAAUUUCUGGAAAGCGCAUUCGGAGCUCAGCCGAAAGGAAUACGCUUUCUAACUUGGAAAACGGAAACUUUCAUAAGGCGCCAAGGACUGCGGAGUAAUUAGUAAAAACAUCUAGGGACUCUUAAAGAAAACGCGCAGCGAAGGGGUAUGAUCUGUUUUGGGCCCUUAGAUCUUGAUCCAACGGCUCGGGCGCAUCUAGGAGGCCAGUGGCGGCGGGACGGCCACCGGCUGUCUGCUCCGGCGCGGCGGCUCCAUUACCGGUCGAAAGGAGCUCGCCGGCGAUGACAGAAUUCCCGAUUCCGAGCACCAAAUUGCGAAAGGAAAACGCCGGGAGGAUCGGAAGCUCACCGCGGUCUCGGCUAGGGCCGUUGCUCGGGCCGAGAGAGAAGGAGGGCGCGGAUUUGCGGCGGCGCACUUCGGUGGAAUCCCGAGCUCCAAGUCGGGUGUCUAGGGCUAGGUUUCUUCGGGGUUUUUGCGGCUCGGUGAACGAACGGGAGGAGGGCGACCUAGGGACCUUUAUAGAGCUCAGAAAAGAAAGAUAUCCCAUGAUUUUCGGGAUCGAUUCGGCCCGGUGGAGGUGUCCGCCUCGGUUACGAAUCGGGGAAGAAGAAGGCCAGGGCGCUGACAGGUGGGGCUAGAGCUGCAGAGAGAGAAAGGGACGGGGCCCGGCUACCAUAGAAGAAGGGGGGUGAGGGUGCGCGCGCGGCCGGCCUGGUUGCUGGGCUGAGGGGAGGGCAACUGGGCCGCAUUAGCGGGCCGGGGGAGGAGGAGGCGCAGGGGAAAAGGCGGGGGCUGGUUGGGCCUCUCGGCCAGCAGGCCUUCUCCUCUAUUCUUUUUUUAAAAAUCUUUUCUGUUAUCUUUUCUCAAUUCCUUUUUCCAAAGAAGCUUUGAAGCAAAAUAAUCAAAAUAAAAACAGAACAUACAAUACAAAAUAAUUAUGCUCCAGCAUGAAUGCAAAAUUCACGUUUCUAAAUUUAUGAUAAAUUUUAAUUUACACAAAAUUAUUUAUUUGCUAGCUUCAAUGUCCACAAAAAUACUUAAAUAAAUCAAAUUAAUUCCUAAUAAUUGAAAUCAAAAUUUUGGGUGUUACAAACUCUACCCCCUUAAGAGAAUCUCGUCCUCGAGAUUGAACGGUGCUUACUCGAACAGAUAUGAGUAUGAUUUCCUCAGAUCAUCCUCUCUUUCCCAAGUUGCCUCUUCUUCCGAAUGCCAAUUCCACUGUACUUUGCACAUUCUGAUGACCCGACUUCUGGUGACUCUGUCAGCUGUCUCAAAUAUUUUGACCGGAUACUCUUCAUAAGUGAGAUCACCUUUAACAGAAAGUUCUUCCAAUGGUAGUUGCUCCUCAGGUACACGCAAACACUUCUUCAGUUAUGACACAUGGAACACAUCGUGCACACCAGACAAAUUUUCAGGCAAUUCUAACUGAUAUGCUACUUCUCCACGCCUUUCUAAAACUUUUAACAGACCAACAUACCUUGGAGCUAGCUUUCCCUUCAUAUUAAACCUCUUCACACUCCGCAUAGGUGACACUUUCAGAUAGACAUAAUCACCCACUUCAAAAGCCAACUCCCUCCUACGCGUAUCUGCAUAGCUUUUCUAACGAGAUUGAGCAACUCUCAAGUUAUCCCGAAUAGUCCGCACUUGUUGUUCUACAUGUCUAAGCACAUCUGUCCCGAACACCUAAGUUGCUCCUGUCUGAUUCCAGAACAAAGGUGUCCUGCACUUACGACCAUACAGUGCCUCGAACGGUGCCAUCUUAAGACUUUGCUGAUAGCUAUUGUUGUAGGAGAAUUCUGCAUAUGGCAAACUCUUGUCCCAACUAGUUCCAUACUGCAAAGCACAAGCUCUCAACAUAUCCUCCAAUAUCUGAUUGAUCCUCUCAGUCUGUCCAUCUGUCUGUGGAUGAUACGCUGUACUGAAAUUCAACUUGGUUCCCAAUGAAUCAUGCACUGCUUUCCAAAAGUGAGAUGUGAAUUGAGUACCCCUAUCUGACACAAUCUUCUUAGGUACCCCAUGCAAACAAACAAUUCUCUCCAUAUACAGCUCAGCUAGGCGUUCUCCAGUGUACUUAGUUUUAACAGGUAUGAAGUGAGCAACUUUAGUCAAACGAUCUACUAUCACCCAUAUUGAGUCAUACCCUCUCUGUGUACGUGGUAAACCCACAAUAAAAUCCAUACCCACUUCUUCCCACUUCCAUUCUGGAAUCUUCAUUGGUUGCAACAGUCCAGCUGGCCUCUGAUGUUCAGCUUUCACUCGCUGACAAGUAUCACACAAAGCAACAUACUCAGCAACGUCUCUCUUUAAACCAUACCACCAGUACUUUUGUUUCAGAUCUAGAUACAUCUUAGUGCUACCAGGAUGAAUGGAAUAUGCUGACUCAUGAGCCUCUCUCAGAAUCAUAUCACGAAUAGCCUUCACUUCAGGAACACAUAUCCUUUUUCCAAACCACAGUACACCAUUGUCAUCUAUUCUGAAUCCUGGUGCUUUGCCUAGUACCACGUUCUGUGCUAUCUCUUUUAGUUUCUCAUCAUCUAACUGUCCUUUCAAUAUCUCUUCCUCUAGAGUAGGAGUGACCUCAAUUUCCAUCGCAUUUACUACAAUUCCCAAGUUCAAGUAUGCAAAUUCAGCACACAACUCCUCAGAUUCAGGUGUCGCCCGAAGCUCAUUAGCAUAUUUCUUCCUGCUAAGUGCAUUAGCUACGACGUUUGCCUUUCCAGGAUGAUAAUGCACUUCCAAAUCAUAAUCCUUUAUCAGUUCCAACCAUCUUCGUUGCCUCAAGAUCAGGUCUGUCUGGGUGAAGAUAUACUUUAGACUCUUAUGAUCCGUGUAUAUGUCACUCUUAUGCCCAAUCAAAUAGUGUCUCCAAAUCUUCAAUGCAUGAACCACAGCUGCUAACUCUAGAUCAUGAGUAGGAUAAUUCAGUUCAUGUUUCCUCAACUGUCUAGAUGCAUAAGCAACAACUCUACCUUCUUGCAUAAGAACACAACCCAAACCUAGAUGAGAAGCAUCACAAUAGAUAGAUAAACUCUUACUCAGAUCUGGCAAUACCAACACAGGUGCAGUAGUCAAUCUCUUCUUAAACUCCUCAAAACUAGCUUGACACUUAUUAGACCAUACAAACUUAGCAUUCUUCUCCAAUAGAGCAGUCAUAGGCUUUGCAAGUUUUGAGAACCCUUCAAUGAAUCUACGGUAAUAACCAGCUAAACCAAGAAAACUGUGAAUUUCACUUACAUCUGUAGGUGGUUUCCAAUUCAGCACAUCUUUCACCUUACUAGGAUCCACUGCAAUACCACCAUUAGAGACAACAUGACCCAGAAAACAAACUUCUUCCAACCAAAACUCACAUUUACUACGCUUAGCAUACAGUUUAUGUUCUCUAAGUUUCUGUAAGACCAAUCUCAGAUGUUCAGCAUGUUCUUCCUUGGUUUUAGAGAAUACCAGAAUAUCAUCAAUAAAGACCACCACAAACUUAUCAAGAUACUCUAUAAAUACUUUAUUCAUCAUGUACAUAAAGUAAGCUGGUGCAUUGGUCAAACCAAAAGACAUAACUGUAUACUCAUACAACCCAUACCUUGUUGUGAAAGCUGUCUUUGGUAUAUCUGAAUUCCGGAUCUUCAAUUGAUGAUAACCAGAACGCAAAUCAAUCUUAGAGAACAUACAAGCACCUCUUAGCUGAUCAAACAAGUCAUCAAUCCUAGGCAAGGGAUAUUUAUUCUUGAUAGUGACCUCAUUAAGUGACCGAUAAUCAACACACGUCCUCUGACUAACAUCCUUCUGAUCAACAAAGAUAACCGGUGCACCCCAUGGUGAUGAACUAGGACGAAUGAACCUUUUAUCUUGUAAUUCCUUAAUUUGUUUCUUAAGUUCUUCUAGUUCAUUAACCCCCAUUCUAUAUUGUUGUAACAUCCCCGAUGUUACGGUUACUAAAACUGGAUCAUGUCAUCAUGAGCAUUGCAUCGCAUAUUUGUUAAGCACAUUAUUAUGCAUCAACUUAAAAAAAGUUUAUUUUGAUUGCUUGUGCUUAGGGAAGUAAAGUGAGCUUAUGUUGUGAAGUAAUGCUUGUGUUGGUUGUAUAAUCCCUAGGGUGGAAGGUUUCCGAGAAAAUAGGGGGGAAAACCCUGAUUUUAGAACCCUAGAUUUGCCCCCUUUUGUGUAACCUAAAAACUAAGCAAAAUUUGGGGAUGAGUUCAAAAUCAAAGUUGUAGAUCUGGUCAAGAUGUACAACUUUGGUGUUUUGAGUUUUUGAAGUUUCAAUACAAAAUUCAAAGUAAUUUUGAAAAUACAGAUUUCGAGAAAGUGACCCCUUUUCCAACUUGAAUCUCCAAUUCAAAAUCUAUGUGGAAUUUUGAAAAGUGAUCAACAUGAAAGUUGUAGAGCUCAAAAAGUUGAACAACUUUCAUGUUGGGAAUUUUUCAAGUUGUGUUGAAAAAUCAAAAGUAAUUUUGGAAAUUCUGAUCUGCCCCAAUUCAAAAAUUGGAAUUUCCCUAAAUUGAGAUUUGAAUUUCAAACUGUUUUGUCAAAUUCACCAUUUUCCACUCAGAAUUAGCUUUGGUCACCAGAACAUGUUUUGUAGCUUGUAAAAUUCUGCACAACUUUCAUUUUGGUGAAAAUUUGGCUUUAGUUCAAAGUUUGGACGAAUUUUGCAAAAGUUCAGAAAGGGAGAGGAUAGGGAUUGCUACAGUGAUCCGAUGAGGAUCACCAGCCCCCUGUCCAGCACGGCCGCCGCGCGUGCAGCGCCGCGUGCGCGCGUGCGAGCACGCAGCUGCCUGCCUGCCUGCGUCACUGGGCUACGUGGGCGCCCCGGGCUCGCUUCUCCCUCUCCUUGAGCACCAGCGCGGACGGUGCCGCGCGAUUUCUCUGUCCAGAACCGAAGAACCCCGACGGCCCUCUCUCUCAAAUUCACCGCACCCGAUCCAUCUCAAGUCAAAUUGAGCAUUCCACAACGUUCGCCACACCCUUGCGAACUCAGUGCACCCCCUAGCUCACCCUCUAACCCACCCAAUCAUCGACAUCUCUUCUUCUCCCCCAACUCCGGUAGGAACCCCCGCCGUGGAGCUCUCUCCGUGGCCGCGCUGUUCCAGUGAGUAACAUACCUUGCUAGCGGUUGUUUCCGGUUCCUCUCCAUCCCCAGAAGCUCAUGCGCUUUCUCUCUUUCCCUAGAUGCGAGCAGGAUCACCGGAACGACCUCGCCGGAGCCGGAGCACCCGCCCGACGACACCGCCACCAUCGCCAAAGCAUUCCGUUGCUUCUCCUGCCGUAGUGAUGUGAGCACCAUGCUCCUUGCUUCUUCCCGAACCUCCCUGACUUGCUCGUUUGCGCUCUACCGAGCCCUAGUGGCCGGUCUUCGAUCGGCUAUGGCGCCGCCCGCCAUUCGCGUGGCCGAGAUGGAAGAGAGAGAGUAGAGCACGUUUGGGUGAUGGCAAUAGGAUCGCGAGGCUGAGGCGGAGCCAUUGCGCACCCUAGCGUGGGUUGAAACCCCGCCGUCGGCGGCCGGAGUCGCGGCAGAGCCGCCGCAAGUGAGGGAGAAGGAGCUAACGGGUGGGACCUCCCCGUCAGCGACCUUUAGAGAGAGAGGAAGGGAGCAGCGCGCGUGGGCCGGAUUGGGCCAAGGCUAAACGGGCCGGCCGCAGUAACACAGCGCUGUUGUCCUUUUUCUUUUAAUUUAAAAAUGCUUGAUGUUUGAUUUUAUAUAGAAAAACAUGUACUGAUUCAAAAAUUAUGGAAAUUUUUGUAUAGGUUCCAUAAAAUGAAUAGAACACAGGAAAAAUAUUAGAUUCUAAUUUUCUGGUAGUUUGCAUGUAUAUAAAAAUUGCCUCUUUUAUUUGGUAAAUGAAACUUCCAUGAAUUUUAAUAAUUUAUGGGUAUAUCCAAAAAUCACCAAAAAUUGUGAGGAACCUCUGAAUAUUAUUCCCUGGCUUCACACAAAAUUUGGUGGUAUUUGGAUAAAGUUUGGAUAAAAUAUCAUUAAACCCUUAAUUAGUAAUUAAAUAAUAAUUCUAGAAUAAUUAGAUGAUAAUUAGUUAAAAUUCUCAAAAUUAGGGUUUGAGUGAUUUUGGGAUUGUGUGAUGACCUGAGGUCAUUAACCUUAAUGACCUUUGGCAUUUAAUUAUUGUUUGGCAUUAAUGUUUAAUUACUGUCAUUAAUACUUAAUUAAGAGUUAAUUAAGAUAAAAAGGAUUAAUAAUUAGUUAAUUAAGGAUAAUUAUGAAUUAAGAGAAAUCUUGAUUUACUGAUGCAACCUCUUGGGUAAAAACACUAAAAUGAUAAACAACUUUGAUUACUGUUUAACCCAUCCUUGCAUCAAGAAGGAAAGUGUACUUAACUCGGUCCUUCUCAAAUAAUUGUCAUACGCAUAUCAUGAGCAUCUAUCAUUUUGCGUAUAGUGCACGUGACCGAAGGAGCGACCGUUGAACCGAACCCCGAGGUCGGUGCUCCGUUCGAGGAAGUAGGAUCCGAGACUUGGAAAAUCUCCGCGGGUCCCUCUCAGCUCUGCAACCAAGGCAAGCCCCGGAUGCAUUAACCCCUCCUUGAAUGUUUUAAACCUUUUAUCACUUAUGAAUUGAAAAUGCUGCAUUACGUAGUUGAGAAUUGGGUUAACCUACUUGUUGCAUUUACUACCUUGGUAUUUGUUAUCUUGUCCUUGGCAACUGUUUUGUUUUACAACUGCGUAGUGAUGCUUAGCCCUGCUAUUAGAUAAGUUUUCAAACAAGAAAGUUUGAAGGGUUGUUGUGGAAUACACUUAUGGUCAAUGAUGUUUCAACUUGAGACCGGUCGGUGGACUUGCUUUAAGAAUGGAGUCUUAAAGUAGUGUCUCCAACUGUGUCGGUUAAGGACCGGUCCGUUGAUGGCCUACUGGGUUGAGAAUUUAUAGUACUAGCCACUUGCCCUCGGUAAGCCCGAUCUUGUGAUCCCUCGACGUGAACAGCUACUCGCGCACUGGGCGUGGAGCGAUGGCGAGAGUAGCGUGUACCCACCUUACGGAUCUGAGAUGACCGGGAAACAUCUAGAUCGGCUGUAGGAUGGUGGGGUACUGUGCUCUCGGGUGCCGCGAACCUGGUCAAAUUUGGGGAGAGCUCGAUUUGGGUUGAUAUAUGCAAGAUUUGGUUCUACAUAUGUCGGGUGGUUAGGAACUCCAGGUGGAUUGCUAAGCGAUUCGAAUCGUCGUUGCUCCCCGAUUGGGAGACUCAAUUCCUUCGACCCUCAUCAUAGUUAAAUAUGCAACUAAAUGAUAAAAUGAGAAAGGGGGAAAUGUCGCAUGAGGUUCGGAUCCCAAUUCUCGGACUCAGAGUGACAUGAAGCUAUGGCCGUUGGAUAGAAAAUACUUUGAUUAAGGAUUAGGAACUUACAGACUUGUCUGUGAGAAGCAACUAGAUAGACUGUCCUCGAACUCCUUGACCUCUUAAGGAGAGAAAUUCGUGGGUAAAACUUGAAAGUAAGGAUGCACUAUUAGUAAGCUUUUUGGCAAAACAAUUUGGCUCCUUCCUCAGCCACUCCUUGUCUACCCUAAGCCUGCAUUCCUAAGUUCUCCUCUUUUUCCGCCGGGUAAGUCUUGUUGAGUACUCCCGUACUCAGGGUUUUAUAACCCCUGUUGCAGGUGAAGUUCAGGAGCCGACAUGUUUCGGACCCUGUUGUGUGACCGUCGUCGAGGUUGACGACGAAGAAGAGUGAGCGUGACCCAUGGGCAGGGUCUGUAAAUUUGUAAUCUAUGUACUAAAGUUUAAGUUGCUCCGCUGGACCUGGCUUGUAAUAACACUCUACUAUUUGGAAGAACUACUUUUGUAAAUUAAGUUAUGUAAUGCUUCCGCUGUUUUACUCUGAAAUAUUAUUUUGGUCUUAUGUCGUUUGUGAUACCGCAAUGUCUUCGCAACGAGUGAUCCUGGUGUUAAGGUGGCCACUUGCUAUCCUGUAAGGGCGAGAAGAAGAAGUUCUCGUUAAUUGACCAUCGCCAGUGGUCAGGAUGAGCUUGCUUGAUACGCCACAGGUAGCGGUGGAAUGAGCGUCCUGAGAUGCUCAUCGGACUUCUAGAGUGGGAGGAUCCCCGGCAUCACCGUCAGAGGUCCUUAGGACAAUGACAGGUGUCGGUGGGCCCAAACACUUAGGAGGUUCUGCCACAAUAAUCUUUUAGCUAUGGGUGCAGUACCAGGUAGUAAUUCAAUAAUAAAUUCAAUGUCUCGGUUAGGUGGCAUACCUGGCAAUUCAUCUGGAAAGACAUCCGGAAACUCAUCCACUACCAGGUUCUGAGGAUCAACAUCAUCAUUCAGUUGGUUCACUUUAGCGGUGAGUGGUGCUUGCACUGCUACAUCAACACUGAUUCGUUCUCCCUUUGGUGUUGUCAGGGCCACUACUCUCUCCUUGCACUUAAUAUCUGUGUCAUAUUGCUUCAUCCAAUCCAAACCCAAGAUCACAUCUAUGCCUGAAGUUCUCAUAACCAUGGGACUGAUAGGAAAAUCUACCCCCCUUAAAGAGAGACUUGCUGAGGGGCAACAUAAAGAAACUGGUAUAGUCCCACCCGGUGAAUUAACUAGCAUAGGGGUUUUCAUUGCAACUAGUGGAACGCUAUGAACUCUAAUAAAUGCUUGUGAUAUGAAAGUAUGCGAAGCUCCAGAAUCAAAUAAAACUGUAGCAGGGAUACAGUUGAUACUGAACGUACCCAUCAUGAUUUCUGGUCCCUCCUGAACUGUUUCCGCUGCCACGUUGUUCACCUUUGCUGAAUUAGGAGUGGAUCUCCGGUCGUUGUUCUGUGGAUUAAACUUCUCUGGGCAAUCAUAGGACAUAUGUCCUUCCUUCCCGCAACGGAAACACCUGGUAGGAGUGUUAGAAGCACUUCUUUUUGUGGAGUUGGCAUUUGAGUUCCCUGAGCGAGAUGUCUGCUGACCAUGCUGCUGUUGAUUAUGAUUACGUUGUUGGAAUGGAGGACGUUGGUUUCCACUCUGUGAUUGAUUCUGGAAACGCUGGGGCUGCUGGUUGCGGUUCCACUAACUAACUGGUCCCUGGAACCUCUGCUGAUAGCCUUGAUGAGAACUGAAACACUGACGGUUGUUGCUCCUAGAGCCUUGUGCCAGCAUCCUUCUCUUCUUAUCCUGACCCUUACGCAUAUUAACAAGCACAAUGGCAUGAUUCACAAGUGCCUGGAAGGUAGGAUAGGUGUUUCCAGCCAACUGCAACCUGAGCUCGUAGUAAAGACCUUUCAUGAAUAGACGCUGCUUAUCAGCAUCUUCCCUGACAUCGUUCGGAGCAUAGCGAGCCAACUGUUCAAAGGUGUCAUGAUAUUCUGCCACAAUCAUGGAGCCCAUCCUGAGUGAUCGAAUUCUUCUUGCUUGAGCUCCAUCAUUCCCUCAUUUAUAUGUCGAGCUCUGAAAUCUCUACAGAAUUCCAGCCAUGUGACAGGAGGAGCAUUGUUGGGACGAGUAGCCUAAUAUGACUCCCACCAUGUCUGAGCUGCCCCCUGAAGCUGUCCAGAAGCAUACAACACCUUCUCUAAGUCAUUGCACUGUGCUAUGUUCCUCUCCACAGCACGUAACCAAUCAUCUACCUCCAUGGGAUCAGCUGAGUGUGUAAAUACUGGGGGUCUUCCCUUCAUAAAUUCCCCCCGCUUAUCUCUCACAUGAACAGGUGGUGGUGUUGGUGGUGGUUGCUGCUGUAGGUGCUGCAUGAAAACGUGCAUCAUCUCAUUUUGAGUUUGCAUGAGUUCCUCCACAGUGAUUGGGGCAUUGCCACCAUUGCCCUUGCCAUGGCCUCUACCUCUGCCUCUUCCCCUUGCUGUCAUCUGCAUUCCAAGGUAUAUAAACACAUCUUAGUAAUGUCCAACAUGACAAUUACAAGAGUUAACGGAAUCUGAAAUUUUCUGGGUAACAUCCAACAUCAGCAGAUCCGAAAAUCAAUCAUAUCUCGGGUUCCAGAAUUCAAAAGGAUACAUGCUGUACACCGUUGGAAAGAUAAAGAAAUUGUCUACAACUUUCAUUUAGAUCAUAUUAACAGAUUCCAACGUUAGGUUAAUCAAAAACUGGGUACAACCGAAACUGUUCUAGAAUUCCAGACUGCGCAGAAACCUCAAUCUUUAAACAGUCAUAACUCACAGCUCAUAAUAGAUAAUAUGGUCAUUCUUGUUGGAAAGAUAUGAAAGUCUACUUGUUCCCAGAAAAAUUUGAUGAACAUUGCAUGAACAGAAUUUGAUUUAUACCAGAAUCAUUGCAGACUGCUCCAGAAAAACAGCAAAAGACAGAAACAGGAUAUGACCCCAAACCACUAUUUAUUCAUGUUCUUACUUAAGGUUCUUAACUAGGGAACUUGUGGACACGCCCACAAAGUCCCAGCACUCAUUACAAAAAUCCAAAUCACACAUAUUCAUAAUAACAAAUCAGCAAGCACACCAAGUUCACACCACACUAACAAAAGACUCGAAAUAACUCGCAAACUACUAACGUUCCUAUUACAUAUGGGUUCUUUCUAUUCCUCGGGAGCAGCAUCCUUCAAGAUAGGGUCAAGACGCAGCCUCUUAUGGAGUUUGGGACGGCCUAACUCCACUCGAAGGUCAUCUGCUUCCCUUUGCUCUUUCUCCAGCAGCUUCCUCUCACGGUGUAGUUCAUUCUCCAACUCUAUCACCUUGACGGUCAGCUCAUAAGUCAACUCCACUUGUGCUUGAAGCUUUGGUUGUGAAGCAUCUGCAACUUCUAUGGCCCAAGUCAUCUUCUCUGGUACAAAGCGAGGAUAGUGAUAUGUUGCAUUGUACUGGACAUCCUCAAAGCAUCUACCACGGUAAAAGAUCAAGGCCUGGUAAGCUGCAUCUGCCAUGCUUUCCUUCAUCGUGUCCCGACUGAUUCGAGAGAUGUGUUUUGAUUCCACCUUUCGAAUCCCCUUAGUGGCAUCCAGUGUCUUGACUACCAGCUCUGCAACCUAAAGUGAUCUCCUCAGAGGGUGUUUGUGCUCAGUGCAGUUAUACUCCAGUGUGGCUUGCAAAUCCGGGUAAUGGUGUUCCAAUGUCAACACCAAAUUCUCAUGGAAGAAAGCCUUAGGAUCUGCUUCAGGAAUCCACAGCUCACAGCUCAGUAGUCCAUCCCAUCCUUGCAUUAGCAGACUGUGGUGGAGGUGGAUCUUGCAUCUCCUCAUCUUCAGGCACCUCCUCCUGAGCUUCCACCCUUGACUCCUCAUCUGCCAGCUCAGGAAUACCUUCCACAUGCUGUCCUCUUGGGUUGAACAAGGCACGGUACUCCUCAGUAGCCAUGCGUGCAGCACUACGGGUACGGGGCGGCAUCUACAAAAAGUUUUUAGACAUAGAUCAGAUGGAUGAAAUAAUUUUACAAUAGAGCAAGAUAGAGAAGCAUAAACUUUUAGCAAAUAACAAGACCAUAGUGGGAAGCAUGAAGUAAAAUAAAGGGCCUAAAUUUUCGACCAUUGCUAACUAGGUUUGCGUCCUACAGUCAACAAAGUUUUGAUACCAAUUUGUCACACCCAUAUUUUAAGAACAAAAUAGGAUGCAUAAGAGACUCAUAUGUGCCCCAAAAACAGUCGCACACAUAAGUAGACAAAUCAAAAAUGUACCAUUGUAGUGUUUAUUACAUAACGGAACAUAAUAAAUCACAUAGUCUCAUACAAAAAUGAUAGCAUAGAAUAAACAACGCUCUCGACGGAAGCUCCACAUAGGGACACUGUUGACUGGUUGACUCCAAACCUAGUAC